UAACCUACCCAUCAGAGGGGGAUAACACUUGGAAACAGGUGCUAAUACCGCAUAACAGUUUAUGCCGCAUGGCAUAAGAGUGAAAGGCGCCUUCGGGUGUCGCUGAUGGAUGGACCCGCGGUGCAUUAGCUAGUUGGUGAGGUAACGGCUCACCAAGGCCACGAUGCAUAGCCGACCUGAGAGGGUGAUCGGCCACACUGGGACUGAGACACGGCCCAG
rnacentral:rRNA from 1 species